AUUGAACGCUGGCGGCAGGCUUAACACAUGAAAGUCGAGCGAGCGGCGGACGGGUGAGUAAUUUCUGGGAAACUGCCUGAUGGAGGGGGAAAACUACUGGAACCGGUAGCUACAGCCGCCUACGAUCAUAUUUGCCGAGAUGGUAUUAGCUAGUAGGUGGGGUAAUGGCUCACCUUGGCGAAGAGCCCUAGCUGGUCUGAGAGGAUGACCAGCCACACUGGAACUGAGACACGGUCCAGACUCCUACGGGAGGCAGCAGUGGGGAAUAUUGCACAAUGGGCGCAAGCCUGAUGCAGCCAUGCCGCGUGUGUGAAGAAGGCCUUCGGGUUGUAAAGCACUUUCAGCGAGGAAGCGUUACUCGCAGAAGAAGCACCGGCUAACUCCGUGCCAGCAGCCGCGGUAAUUC
rnacentral:rRNA from 1 species